rnacentral:misc_RNA from 1 species
ACAGAGAGACACGCAGAGGGCAAGCGCAAUACCCACGGAACCACUCACAGGUGCUUUUGUUUUCGACGUGCGCCCGUCUUUUCCCCCUCCCACGACGACCACCAGCACAGAAGAGUCACGGAAAGUUCAUACUGCGGCUGCAUUCUUUGUCUUUCUCGUGCGCAUAUAGGCUUUCCAUCCUCCCUACCUCUAUCUCGACGCGCGGCACGCACCCGCCGGCACUGCGGCGCCUUUUCAGCAGAAGAAGCGUAUAGAGAAUCCGAAUGAGCUCUAGCGAGUCACGUGCAGAGCGACUGCGCCGCGUAAACCGCUAUAAAGCGGUGCAGGCGGAGCUCGCUCGACAGGAGGAGGACAACUUAGCUGCCAUGCGAGCAGCCAAAGUGAAGGCGGCUGCCGCUGACGAGGCCCUAGCCGCCGAGCUAGCUGAACAGCAGCGACUUGAGUUGAAAGACGCGAAGAUGCUGCAGCUAGUGCGUGACUACCCGGAGGUACGGGCGCUAGAGAGUCAGCUAAAGGACGCCUAUCUGCGCAAGAGCCGUGCAGAGCAGGUGACGGACCGCAGCGCCGCUAAGGCGCUGGAGGUAGAGGAGCAGCGUAGGCACAUGAAGUACCUUGCCGAGCAGGACCGACUUGCCAAGGCAGAAGAGGAGAAGAGGCACCAGGAAAACAUGGAGCGAUUCCGACGCCAUCAGGCAGCUCAGCUGGAGAUAAUCCGCCAGCAUCGCUGUGCCGCUAUGGAGGAAGCGAAGCAGCGCGAACAGGAGCGCAUCGCCGUAGACGCUGUAAUGGCUCGAGUGCAGGAGCAGGACUUUCUCGAAACCCUCGCCCGUCGCGACCGGCAGCGUCGGAUUAUGGAGGAGCAGGAUGAGUUCUGCCGUCUUCGCGCUGCUAUUAAGAAGGCGGAGCAGGAUCGUGAGGCCAAGGAAGAGGCGGCGAUUCGUGCCUACCUCGAUGAGCAGGCACGUAGAAAGGAGAUGGAUGACAAGAUGGCGCGUGAGCGGGACGUUGUCAAGGCCCGCAUUCUGGAAGAGCAGGGCCGUCGCAUUGCCGAGGAGGAGCGCAAGAAGCGUGAACUGGAGGUGCUGCUUCAGGAGUACUACGAAGAGGAGCGGCUGACGAAGGAGCAGAUGCUGAUCGCGGCAGAGAAGGCGAGUCGCGAUCGCAUGGCAGCCGCGGUGAAUCACGAAAACCAAAAGCUCAUCGAGCAGCGCCGCCUUGCCAAGGAGGAGCAGCUGGCCGAGGAGAUGCGCUUUCGGCAGGAGGCAAUGGAGCAAAUGGCCGCGGAGGCAAAGCUGCAACAGCUCAACCGCCAGAAGCAAGCGGAGAUCAAGCGGCAGCACAUCGCCGAAGCGCAGCAGCGUCUGGAGGAGCGCCGACGUCUCAAGGAGCAGGAAAAGGAGCUAGAACGCAAAGUGGAGGAGCAGGACCGCAAGCAGGAGGAGCAGAUCCAGGAGUACAUCCGACGCGCCCGCGCGCAGCUCUUGGCGCAGCACUUGCCCAAGCUAGGCUCGUAUGCCCCUGUAUUCGCCAUGCGGGACGAGGAGAAGCUUCAGUUCUUGCCUCAGUCAAAGACUGCCGACGCUGCACUGCCCGCACGCUAACGGACAAUAUAUAUUUGCCCUCUUUUCUUGCCCUUGUGGUCGACUGCUGCUUUCACAUCCGGCUACGCUCCUCCGCUCCGCUCUACUUCGCACUCCCACUUUUUCUUUUGCCUUCCUACGAGGUCGCGCGCACAUCGGCGGCGAAAUGGGCUGUGGAAG